UUGAAAUGAGACACGGGUUAACCCCAUAUCUCUUUCCCCUCUCGUUUGGAAUGAAUCAGCGAACCCUAAUCGCUAUACUCCAACCGCCACCACCAUGGGUAGUAUCUCCAGCCGCCACUUAGCAAAGAUCGACCACCAUAGCUCGCUGCUGGUGGCGACAGGAGCAACCGAGCAGCUACUGCGACACCUAAUGCCGAUGAUGUCAUGCACGGACGAGAGGACCAAUCUCAGCGAUGCCAAGGCUGCUGGAGGCGACGUCAGGCGGUGUUGAUGGUGCACUCAGACGCUCCUCCCUCUUAUUCUUCUUCUUAUGUUCCGCCUUCAGCCAUGUCGUCGACUGUGGUGCGAGUCGUUGCAGCUCCGACCGCCGCUGCCACCUCAAGGGUGGCCAUGUUGGUACUUCGGUUUUCAAAAGAGGAGCUCGGGAUGAUUGCAGUGCACACACCAUUUAUUCAGCCUGAGAUGUUUAUACUCUGAUAUAUAUUUGAUAGACAUUAAGAUAUUCUUGGGAUACACGAUUCAUGAUUUCUAUAUGUUGAAUGAUAGAUAUGGUUUUAUUAAUGACUUAAAAUGAAAUUUUUAGACUGUA